CUGCGACCAAGCUUUCUGACACUGGGCAGCACAUUGCACUCCAGAAUGCCUUGAUAGUCUUGAGAUUUUAUUGUACCCUGCACAGAUUCAAGACACCCUGUGCCAGAUGCAGCAAAUCAGCCCCAAAACAUAACAGAGCCC